rnacentral:rRNA from 1 species
UACGUAGGAUGCAAGCGUUGUCCGGAAUUACUGGGCGUAAAGCGCGCGCAGGCGGUCUUCCAAGUCAGUGGUGAAAGCCCGGAGCUCAACUCCGGAACUGCCAUUGAAACUGUUAGACUUGAGGAUGAGAGAGGUGAGUGGAAUUCCCAGUGUAGAGGUGAAAUUCGUAGAUAUUGGGAAGAACACCGGUGGCGAAGGCGGCUCACUGGCUCAUUACUGACGCUCAGGCGCGAUAGCGUGGGGAUCAAACAGG